rnacentral:rRNA from 1 species
GACGAACGCUGGCGGCGUGCUUAACACAUGCAAGUCGAACGGUGAAGCGCCUUCCUUUUUGGUGAGUGUGGAUGAGUGGCGAACGGGUGAGUAACACGUGAGUAACCUGCCCCCUUCUUCUGGAUAACCGCAUGAAAGUGUGGCUAAUACGGGAUAUUCUGGGUCUGUGGCAUGAUGGGUCUGGGAAAGAUAUUGUUUCGGUGGGGGAUGGGCUCGCGGCCUAUCAGCUUGUUGGUGGGGUGAUGGCCUACCAAGGCGGUGACGGGUAGCCGGCCUGAGAGGGUGGACGGUCACACUGGGACUGAGACACGGCCCGGACUCCUACGGGAGGCAGCAGUGGGGAAUAUUGCACAAUGGGCGCAAGCCUGAUGCAGCGACGCCGCGUGAGGGAUGGAGGCCUUCGGGUUGUGAACCUCUUUCGCCAGUGAAGCAGGCCUGCCUCGUUUGUGGGUGGGUUGACGGUAGCUGGAUAAGAAGCGCCGGCUAACUACGUG